rnacentral:lncRNA from 1 species
CCAUUUUUUGCAGAGUCGAAUGCCCAUCCUGUAAUCGAGUUUGCUUUUAGCCCUCUUUUGGAUGAUGAGUUUCUUAGGAAUAUUCCCAAUUCACGCUUGCUCGGUUACCUAUUAUAUGCCCAGUAACCGGUAUCCCUGGUGUUCCUUCCUUUCUGCUCCCUAUUGUGACUUUUGUCCCUCGUGGAGUCGGAUUUCCUGAGUUGAAAUAUACCUUUUUCAGGUCUUCCUCAGAUGAUUUUGGAUGAUUG